rnacentral:snoRNA from 1 species
GUGCAUCUUUCAAACCCCUCGGAUUCCUCUCACCGUGGUCUCCGGGACAAGAAGAGAUGCGAGAGCAAACCCGCGAGAAAUCCAAAGGGCAGAGACCCCCCCUGUCUGUGCUCUAUUUCACCUCUCGCACAGAGCU